rnacentral:rRNA from 1 species
CCUACGGGGGACAGCAGUGGGGGAUAUUGCACAAUGGGGGAAACCCUGAUGCAGCGACGCCGCGUGAGUGAAGAAGUAUUUCGGUAUGUAAAGCUCUAUCAGCAGGGAAGAAAAUGACAGUACCUGACCAAGAAGCCCCGGCUAACUACGUGCCAGCAGCCGCGGUAAUACGUAGGGGGCAAGCGUUAUCCGGAUUUACUGGGUGUAAAGGGAGCGUAGACGGUUAUGUAAGUCUGGAGUGAAAGCCCGGGGCUCAACCUGGAGACUGCACUUGAAACUGGGUAUCUUGAGGGCAGGAGAGGAAAGUGGAAUUCCUAGUGUAGCGGUGAAAUGCGUAGAUAUUAGGAGGAACACCAGUGGCGAAGGCGACUUUCUGGACUGUACCUGACGCUGAGGCGCGAAAGCGUGGGUAGCGAACGGGAUUAGAUACCCGGGUAGUC